rnacentral:rRNA from 1 species
UACGGAGGGGGCAAGCGUUGUUCGGAAUUACUGGGCGUAAAGGGCGCGCAGGCGGCUGCUCAAGUCAGGCGUGAAAGGCCUGGGCUCAACCCGGGAAUUGCGCUUGAGACUGGGCUGGCUUGAGUGCGGGAGAGGAUGGUGGAAUUCCCAGUGUAGAGGUGAAAUUCGUAGAUAUUGGGAAGAACACCGGUGGCGAAGGCGGCCAUCUGGACCGCAACUGACGCUGAGGCACGAAAGCGUGGGGAGCAAACAGG